rnacentral:rRNA from 1 species
AGAGUUUGAUCAUGGCUCAGGAUGAACGCUAGCUACAGGCUUAACACAUGCAAGUCGAGGGGAAACGACAUCGAAAGCUUGCUUUUGAUGGGCGUCGACCGGCGCACGGGUGAGUAACGCGUAUCCAACCUGCCCACCACUUGGGGAUAACCUUGCGAAAGUAAGACUAAUACCCAAUGAUAUCUCUAGAAGGCAUCUGAAAGAGAUUAAAGAUUUAUCGGUGAUGGAUGGGGAUGCGUCUGAUUAGCUUGUUGGCGGGGUAACGGCCACCAAAGCAACGAUCAGUAGGGGUUCUGAGAGGAAGGUCCCCCANAUUGGAACUGAGACACGGUCCAAAACUCCUACGGGAGGCA